rnacentral:rRNA from 1 species
GUAGGUGGCAAGCGUUGUCCGGAUUUACUGGGUGUAAAGGGCGCGUAGGCGGGCAUGUAAGUCAGACGUGAAAUACCGGGGCUCAACCCCGGGGCUGCGUUUGAAACUGCAAGUCUUGAGUGCCGGAGAGGGAAGCGGAAUUCCUAGUGUAGCGGUGAAAUGCGUAGAUAUUAGGAGGAACACCAGUGGCGAAGGCGGCUUUCUGGACGGUAACUGACGCUGAGGCGCGAAAGCGUGGGGAGCAAA